rnacentral:antisense_RNA from 1 species
GGAUAAUGCAAGUGUUUAACAGAUGCUUCACUAUUAAAAUAUUUCCCCCCCAAGUCUCAAAUAUUGAAGAAUCUCUAACCAGGCUCGAAACGCCGGUCUCAGUGGCUAUUGAGUUACCCACCAAGUUACCCCGGUUAGAGCUGUUUGGGGUGGCUCACGUUAUUGCGGCAAACUUUGGAGAUGACGGCUGAGUCCUCCGGGCGAACAUGUCAAGCCGAUUGUAAAUGCUGUUAUUUCCACAUCCUUCAGGGACACCAGUCCCUACGAAGACCUUGGGCGAUUUUGAAGUGCGGGCACCUCGAUUCCCCGAAUCUGUAGUGUGGCUGGUAUCGGUGUUCCCCUGGUUUAACUAGCCUGUUUGAAGGCACAGAUCAUUCAUGGGGAAGUAUAACCGAAACCAGUCCUCUCCACCCCCUGGGGAUCUUCACUUUCCCAGUCUACAACUGCCUGUGACUCCAGAAAGACAAACUGCAGAUUGGCCAAGUGCCUUUCAAACUGCUUUUUACUGGAUGAAGAAACUCAACCAAGAAAAUAUAUGUCAAUUCUUGUAUAUGGGACAAUAUUAGCUGCUGUGAUUUUUAAUACUAGCAUAAAAUAUAAGAAUCUUUUUAUUACUGUGAUAUUGUUUUUUCCUAAAUGAAUGCAUAGUGUAACAAUUGGUGUCAAAAAGCACUGAAUUUUUUUCAGAUGGAUUAAGCUGGAAUAAUAAAGUAUAUCUAUGAGAUGAUUUCUGUAAACUCUGACUUGCUGAGAAAAAAGUGAAAAAGCUUUUUCUGGAAGAAACAUGGCAACUUAACCAUUAUUAAUCUGGACUAAACAAAACAGGAAACUGCUUCUUUA